UCUUCCUUGUUCUGUCUCUCGGUCUUCCUUUUGCUUAUCCAUCCAAGUGUGACUACCAAAAGGAAAUUGUCGGCCGGAGAAGAUUUACAAUUCAUCUGAGAUUAUCAUGGCUUCCUUGAAUUAAUCCUUCGCAUACCCCUUUUACUGAUUCAUUUACCAAUUCCAUGACCCAUUUGAGAAAAAGCCCCAAUUGGUUUCAGCGUUGUAAGGAAAAUCCCUAUAACCAAAAUUUUAGGCUUCUCUCGAUUUCUCACUUGAUUCUGCAGGAGGGCAACAAAAGUAAACUAUUGGAGAAGACUGGGUCAACAGAACGGCACUGGCUUCUUUCAAUUUAAAGCUUCACUGCAGCACCAGGAAUGAACCCUCCUCCAUCUUCUGAUACUGAUGUUGACCUUGGGCAUUUCAGAUGAUUUUAUUCCGGAAAAAGCUUAUUGCGUAUCCCAAAUGCUGGUUCCCUUACUGAUAAGGAGGUUCGUAUGAUAUUCAACCUUCCAGACUUCACUAAGAUGAAAAAUCCGACUGAUCUUGUAGGUAAGGAUGAGGUGGUAGCUAAUAUUUAUCAGCUCGCGUGCGGACUCACAAAUCACAAUGCUGUAGAUUAUUUUACUUGCGCUUCUUAAUGCAUGGGAAAUUCCAGUGCAUCAAAUCCGUCACUUUGUUUUGUAUUGGAACGGGUGCUUUGUAUCUCCUAUAGAGGAUUGGAUCAUCACUUCUACAAAUUCCGAAGAUGGAAAAAAGAUCAUGGCGACAAUAUUCCCUGCAAUCCCAACUGGUGACGCCCUUAUAUUUAUGUUCAAGUCUCUGCCAACAAUCACACGUUUCAUCCAAUUAAUCUUCGUUGCUUGGCAGAUAAUGUACUCACAGGUGGUCCCAUAGUUGGUGACAGCAGUGACGACCGUAUUGAGGAAUUCUUCGAUCUACCGAGGAGCUUGUUUGAUGUGUCACUUUCUGAUGAGUUUGUUGACUGGUGUUAUGAUAGAGAUCUGAAUGCAAAUGAAAUCUCAGCCCCAAAUCAUGCUGUUCCUCUUAAUCAGAGACCAGGAGUUACUGCCGUAGAAUCUGACUCUGAGUCUUACGACUGUUAUUCUCCUAAAGCACCAGAAAUGAAUCCAAUGGAGACUGAUUACUGCCAAGGAUCAUCCUCUCCUUCUAGUUUGAUUAGAAUUCGCCGAAGACAUUAUAAGACAUUCACGGCUGGCGAUAAUUCCUCGGAUGCCCAUGACUUUGGAGCUAGUAAUGGUAGAACAAGGUUCAAGAGGCUUUGAAAAGGUGAUCAGCCCCCUCCCUUUACAUUUAAUGGUCGUGGUCGACGUCUGAAAAUUUCUCUGGUGAAUAAAGCUUUACAGUCUGUAGUAGUCCCUUUUGAGAAGCGAGCUUGUGUGGUUCAAAAGGUGGAUUUGCCCUGUGUUUGACGGAAAUAGAGAGAGCAAGUAUUCUGGUUCUGGCGAUGAGGUUCUUGGAAUGAACACUGAAAGUUCUGACGAUAUUUCUUCCGUUGUCCUAGUCCUUUUAUCGACUUAGGUGAUGCUGAAGUUCCUUCGGGAAGAGAAGCCGUAAGAGGAAAUGAUUUCUCCAACACGCUAUUUGCUGACAGUAACUCAUAUACCAAAGACAAUGCGACAACUGCCCAUGACGAUGUUUUAUCACCAGAGAACCUACUCGUGAUAAUGGAGAAAAAGUUAUCCAACCAUCCUUGCCACCUGAACCUUUGUCUGCCUUCGAUGUAUUUUACGUUGGAAUGAUGGGAAGUGGCUCGACUAACCCUUGUCCGGAGAAUGAAAAUGUUAGAAUAUACCGACCCACUUCGAUCCCGCAAUCUGACACUGGCAUUAGUCGACCUGCCGUUGCCUCUCCAUCUCCAGUCCAGCCGAUAAACGAGCCUGACUACAGCAUUUUGCUUAAAACCAUGACAGAACAUUACAACCAGGUAAGUGAAUCGAUCAAUCCACUAUUCGUGCCCUUGGUUAAAGCUAGUUUAAUGCUUUAGCUUGAUACCGAACUCCAGUGGAAGAGGUUCCAGUGAAUGGGCAUUUGGCUGGAAGUUUUCAUCAGCUUAAUUAGUAGAUAUCCAAAUGCUUAUUUUGCUUCCCUCGAAUGGCGGCUCAUUUCUUGUAUAUGUCGAGUAGCUAAGAGGAUAAGAGGCAUACUUUUAUUUACUCUUACCCCUUUAGUUUCUGAAAUCCGCGACUCAACUAAAUGAUGCGCACAAACAACGUGCUUUGGAAGGUGGUGCUGAUGCCGGUAUGAAACGGGAAGUCACACGUUUGGAGAGCGAAAAUACUGAGUUGUCUGCCGCUAUAAGGGUGCUCACCGAAGAGUUGGCUGGAGCGCACCAGGAAUUAGCUAACUCCAAAUCUCGUGAGUUGCAGAUGCAACUAUCCUUGGACGAAAUUAGUGAUGUGCUUCCGGAUUAUCGGGGGUUCUGACUUGCUUCCCGACAGUAAAACUCGGUAGGGGCUGUAUGACCUUUGCUUAUUCCACCAUUUGCAGCAAUUUUCUUCAUCGUCAGGCUGCAUCUUUUUGAACUCAACAGUAGGGUUCCGGCCGGGGAAUCUCAGUGUUUUGGUGUGAACACUCUUUUGUAUAUUAGCUGAAGAUAAGUUAACAGAGUAUGUGUUCUCUCUUUUUUGUGUAAGAACAUUCUAAGCUGACGUUGAAAUAGCUUGGAUGUCUUAUUCUUCUUCUUCAGUACUUGCCCCAAUUACCAUGAAAAACCUUUUGUGGUGGAAUGAAUUAACAAAGCAGAAAAUGCUCUAUACGUAA